rnacentral:rRNA from 1 species
GUACGGAAGGCAGCAGUAGGGAAUAUUGGACAAUGGGCGCAAGCCUGAUCCAGCCAUGCCGCGUGCAGGAUGAAGCAUCUAUGGUGUGUAAACUGCUUUUGUACGAGAAGAAACACUCCAACGUGUUGGAGCUUGACGGUAUCGUAAGAAUAAGGAUCGGCUAACUCCGUGCCAGCAGCCGCGGUAAUACGGAGGAUCCAAGCGUUAUCCGGAAUCAUUGGGUUUAAAGGGUCCGUAGGCGGCCUUAUAAGUCAGUGGUGAAAUCUCACGGCUCAACCGUGAAAUGGCCAUUGAUACUGUAGGACUUGAAUUAUUAGGAAGUAACUAGAAUAUGUAGUGUAGCGGUGAAAUGCUUAGAGAUUACAUGGAAUACCAAUUGCGAAGGCAGGUUACUACUAAUGGAUUGACGCUGAUGGACGAAAGCGUGGGUAGCGAACAGGAUUAGAAACCCGAGUAGUCC